GGUUUUCGGGUUCAUGUACAUAGUAUACUUAACUCGCCAGUGCGAGUAGCUCUGUAUUUUGGAUUUUGGACUAUGUAUGUGAAACUCAGUUUGUUUAGCUUUUGUUUACUUUAGCAGCUCUAUACUACUGUUUGUAGUAUUGUAUGAUUUAUAGGUACAGCUAUCGCUUCGUAUACAGGAAAAAUUUCUUUGUAUACGGCGGAUUUGUCGGCGUGCCCGGGGAACGAGACAUCCGGGGCGUGACAGAUUAAGUUGGUAUCAGAGCUUAGCUGUAGGUCAUUGGGACCUAGAAAACCUAAGUUGGCAAACCUUAGGAAGGCAAGACGCGAGAGGCGCGAUUUAUCGCGAAAGUCAAUGAUUAAUUGUUCUAACUCCUCCUCGAGCGGAGUGAGUGACUGAAGGAGUUCCUGUUUUGGCCUGAGAAAUUAUGUUGGCUGCAGACGACAUAAUUUUGGAGGAAAACAGGGGCCGCCUUCCAGACUUUCGUUGAUUGGGUCGAGAGUGUUUGUUGUAUCUGACCCCGAUUUGUUCCUUUCAGCUAUGUAUCGUCGCCGAGGCCGACCGUCGUUGCGGGAUCGUGCUCAGAUGACCCAGGAUCGUGCGGGACAUUCCGAGGUACCCGAGCAGGUGGAGCCGAGUGCCCGACAGGAGCACAUCACUAGACCGGAGACGAGUGCAUUCCCGAAUUUGAUUGCACAGUUAGCCGCCCUGACCGAGGUGACUAGGCGGCAGGGAGAGUUGUUGGAGAGGCUGUUUGAGAGAGUAGCUCCGCCGCAGAGUACAGUCCCGAGUGCAUCAGAGCAGGCUGUUCCACCUUCGACUACCCCAGUGACAGCGCCCACUGCAGCAGUUCCUCCGCCAGCAGCAGCUCCAGUAGCGCCAGUUGCGCCUGCUAGGGGACCAGUACAGUUGACAGAGGCCGAGUAGGAGCGGAUGACAGAAAGGCUGGCUCGUUUUCGCCGUUUUGAUCCGCCGACCUUCGAUGGCAGUAGCACUGAAGCCUGGGUUGUUGAGGGUUGGGUCAGUGCGGUAGAGAAGUUGUUCGAGGAUCUUUACAUUCCAGCGAGGGAGCAGGUACCCUUUGGAGUCCAUUGCUUGGCAGGCGAUGCUCAUGAUUGGUGGAGGAGAGUGCGACGAGAUCUUGGACUGGUAGCUUCCCAGAUGAGAUGGGAUGAGUUCUGUGGAAUGCUGUUCGGGAUGUAUUUUUCCAACAGCGUGAAACAGAAGCUCGAGGAGGAUUUGAGGAGGAUCCAGCAGGGUGAUCGUCCAGUGCAGGAGUACAUUCGGGAGUUCACUCGACUCCUAAACUGUGUGCCAUUUGUGGCCAGGGAUGAGGCACAUAGGGUUUACAUGUUCGAGCAGGGGUUGAGACCAGAUAUCUUCAGGUUGGUGCGGGCGCAGAGGUCGAGGACCCUGGAUGCGUCCAUGGAGCAGGCCUUAUGGGUGGAGAGAGGUGAGUUGUCACUUCAGGAGAGGACUCAGGCCGUGGGGCAGAGUCAGGAGAGGAAGCGCCCAUUUCCAGAGGACGGAGGACAGUCGAGUAGCAGACGUCCGCCGAGGCCUCCACGAUCACGCUCUCAGGGUCGUGGGUCUUCGGGGCGUCAGCGUUCUAGGGGAUCCCGUCAGCAGGGACAGAUUCAGAGGACACCGCAGUGUGUGAUCUGCGGGGGACCACACUGGCCCCAGCAGUGUGAGCAGAGAGAGGGCAGGUGCUACGGGUGUGGUCAGCCGGGACACAUGAGGGCAGCUUGUCCCCGAGCAGCAUCUCCAGCACCAUCAUCACCUUCAGCCCCACCAGCACCCCAGCAGUCUUACAGAGCAGCUUCGAGUUUCUGCCAGGAGGACAGAUCAUCUGUGCCGCGUCAGGCUGAGCGGCGACAGCAGGCUCCGAGUGGCAGAGUCUACGCAGCUCAGGUGAAAGACUCUACAGUAGUCGACCGAGUGGUGGCAGGUAUCACUUUGAUUUCAGGCAUUCGUACUCGUACUCUUUUUGAUACCGGUGUCUCGCAUUCUUUUGUUAGCCGAGCAUUUGCAUUGUUGUAUGGUCUAGAGUUAGGAGCUUUGGCACAGGCACGAGAGGUGCAGAUCCCGGACCAUGUUUUACAGGUUGCAGAGUGUUAUUGAUCGUGUCCGGUGCAGCUAGAUUCGUGGAUUAUGCCCGCAGACUUGUUAGUGUUAGGGUAGCUGCAGGACUUCGACGUUGUGCUCUGUAUGGAUUGGCUAGCGCGAUAUUAUGCUACGAUUGACUGUGGAGCGAGGACGGUGACGUUCCGCGAGCCAGGCCAGGAUGAGUUCACUUUCAGAAGAUGCAGGAGCACGUUGUUUGCUACGUGGAUAUCUUCGGCGAGAGCUCGACAGAUGCUGAGUAGUGGGUGUAUCUCUUUCUUAGCGAUAGUUGUGGAGGUACCUACGGCAGCGCCGGAACUUGAGGAUAUCCCUAUAGUUCGCGAGUUCCCGGAUGUGUUUUCUCCUGAGUUCACGACGUUGCCGCCGGAGAGGGAGAUAUAGUUUGUGAUUGAUGUAGUUCCUGGAACUGCACCAAUCUCGAAGGUACCUUAUCGGAUGGCGCCGGCAGAGCUGAGAGAGCUAAAGACACAGCUCCAAGAUUUGAUGGAUAGAGGGUUUGUNNNNNNNNNNNNNNNNNNNNNNNNNNNNNNNNNNNNNNNNNNNNNNNNNNNNNNNNNNNNNNNNNNNNNNNNNNNNNNNNNNNNNNNNNNNNNNNNNNNNAUUAAUUAAGGAAUGGAGCAUCUGCGUGAGAAUGCCGCUCGGCUUCUCUCGCUCUCGUUUUCUGACUUUAUCUCUGUCAUGGCUAUUAUUAUAAAUCAAACGGUUUGGCAUCCCCCCAUCCCGGACCCCCUCGCAUACUUUUUAUCGAAUUUUCCCAUAAGUUCUUUGUCGCCUGUAUGAGACGUUAUUGUCUGUCGUUUUGCAUUGUUGUGCUAUUGAGUGUUUUAAAGGAGAUGCGAUAGGCAUAAAAAACAACGUUCAAGUGAUUUAUAUAUAUGUUUCUUGAUUUCUCAAAACUUUUUAGGGAGUUGUUUGCAGUUAUUUUGGUUUGGGAGUCUUGUUUGCAGUUUUGUUUGGUUUUCAGAUUUGAUCGUAUUGUUUUUUUGUCAAUUUUAAAAAUAUGAUGAAAUAUUUACUAAAAUAGAUCUAACAGAUGUAAUUGGAAAUUUUCUUCCAAUUUUUUAUUUGGAGCAGUUUGGUAGCUUUGUUGGGCGAUGUUGUUUUUUUUUCGCUAGUAGAGCUUCUAAUUAUCUUUUAUUUAUUGUCGAUAAUUUCGUAAUGUUUUUGGUUUAUAUCCUUUUUUUACUUUAUGUUUUCUAGAUUAGUUUCGAUGAGAAUAAAACUACUUUUAACACAUUCUGCACAAAUAUUAAUAUAGGUCUAUUGAUUCAGUGGACAAAGCCAAUACAAAUUUUUUCGACCUUAGCAUUUAUUGUGUUAGCUAUUUUUUCUGGUAUUUACUUUUUCGGAUCACAUGAAUUGUGUUGUGUUUUUUUAUGGUAAGUUUUCUUUUAUUGAGUCAAUGAUAAAGGAUAGGGAAUUUGGUUAAGUGUUUUUACUUUGGUGAAAGUUCGAAACAUAUUGUAUAGUCGCCAUGUAGUACGGGGGUGGUUUCUAAGAGGACCUACAGCUCUCCGGGUUAUAUUGGCGGUGGGAAUUGACAGUAAUGCGGUUUUCUUUUUGGGUUUUUUGCUGGGCCUGUUGUAUAGCUGGUAAUCUCUAGAUAAAUAAUUUUCUGCUCGCUGUGAAAGUUUACUAUAGUUCAACUGUGUUGAAUCAUAUGACAGAAACUUUCUGAUUUUGCUUCGUUUAUAAAUUAAUUCGAAGGUCUUUGCUGUUUUGCUUGUCAUGUUUUCCAUAAGUACGCAUACGAUUUGCUCGUGUUGGCGAGGUUCGAAUUUAGGCUCUUUAAUGCACACUGACCACCAACCAUAGGGAGAAACCACGACGGGCUGUACAUCCGAGAACGUGCGGUGGAGGAAAAGUCGCGGCCCACACCACCGACAGCACAACGCCACCCCCCGGUUGUACGGGCUGUCGGAAGGGAGAAGGCGGACGGGACAGGCAAUAGAGCGAGAGAAGGCGGAGAGUACGGGAGAAGGCAGACGGGAUGUCGGAUGGGACAGGCAACAGGGCGAGAGAAGGCGAAGAGCCAGCGGACGGGAUAGGCAACAGGGCGAGAGAAGGCGGAGAGGCGCCAUCACGAAGGCGGAGGGACGAAAAGACAGCGAGGGGGGCAACGACACGUCGUACGGGAGAAGGCGGCUGCGUUCCCGAGGGAGGACAGCGAUGGCGUCGCGGCUACGAAACGAAGGCGGAGAGGACGGAGGGUGAGCGGGGGGUGGUAACGCCGCGCCGUACAGGCAAAAAAAAUCAGAGCGGGGGGAGGGGGCGCCGCCGUACGGGAAGGCGGAGAGCGCGAAACGUGGGGAGGGCUCGAAGCCAAUCGCCCUUGCAUAAGCUUAUAUUGAUAAAUGAUAAGUCCUGCAGCUUUGAAAUUGGAACCUCAACUUUACUCUUUAGAUGUCGUCUCCUUAACUUUUUCAUAUUUUAUUUUAUUUUAUUUUAUUUGAGCUAUUGGUGAGGGGUCACUUCAAAAUAGCCUAAAAUAAUUUUAAUACAUUUUUAUGGCUAGUUGUACGAAUUAACUAUCAAAUCGUGUAGAAAAUUCAGCAUGAGAAUCAAAUGUAUAAUUACUUUCAAACAGAAUAGUCCUACAUAGAACAAUAAACGAGUUGAUACGUAUCAUGGAUUGGAUGGAUAGAGUGCGAAUUUAUUGAAAAGAGUAUCAAUGAGUUCUUAUUGAGAUAGUUUAUUGAGUUGUAUAAUUAGCCUCAAAAUUUUAAAGUUCCAUUCCAUUUUCUUAUGCAUGUGACAGCAGUGUAUAUUUCAUUUCGGCGAAAUUAUAAGUUUGGCCUCAUACUCUAAAGCACCGUGACACUUUGAUUUUUAAACCUCAAUUUAUUAUAAUUUUUGACCUGAACUUUUCAUAUUACUGGAGUUAAGUUUCACUGUCUUAUUUAAUUAACUGAAAGCUGACGUGAUAAUUGUUACGACAAACGCACAAACGAAAACGAAAAUGGCGAACACGAAAUAAACAAAGCACAAACGGAAAUAAAAGAGAACACACAGAUUUACAUAAAAAAUUCUUUGCAAGAAAAAAUCACGAGCAAGGGAGGAGAAAAUUUCACUAUCGAAAAGGGAAUACAAUGCUCGAGUACAACCAACCACGAUCUCAAGCCUCUACGGGCUCGGACCUGUCGACCCGAGCCCUUCGCUACCCACCACAGACAUUCAUUUUUUCUUUAUAAUUUUAUUUUCUAAUUUGAUCGCACCACGAAACCCGCACUCCCUGGCAAAUGUCAGUGGUGGGCUACGGGCUCGGACUUAUCGGCCCGAGCCCUCCGCUACCCACCACAGACAUAUAUUUUUCCUUCACAAUUUUAUUUUUCAAUUUGGUCGUAUCGUGAAACUAUCAGUGAGUCGAAAUUCCGAACUAAAGUCGAUUAUCAAUUUCGAGUCACAUCUAAGGGCCCGUUUGGUUCGAGUUAUUCUGGCAGGAUUACAGGCAAUCCAGCCAGAAUAACUGUGUUUGGUUAAUCCGCUAUGUAAUCUAGUCGUUAAUGUAGCAUUACAAAUCGAGCAGGAUUACAUCGAAAAUAUUAACGGGAGGGGGGUCGUGUAUCUUGCAUUAAUGAAACCCGUUAAUACUACAUAUUACGUAAAAUAACAAUUUUACCUUCUAACAACCCCAAAUCUAAUUAACAACAUUAUUUUCAUCUCUCUCUCCUUCCCCCUCUCUCUCGCACGCCUCUCUCUCUCUCUCACACACAUGUCUCUCUCUCUCUCUGUCUUUCUCUCUCUCUCUCUAUCUCGUCCCUUUAUCUCUCUCGCAUAUUAUAUUUUUGUAAAUUAAUUUACUACUAUAAAUUAUAUUUUACUACUGCAAAUUAUAUUUUUGUAAAAAAAUAAUAUUCAAAUGACCACAACAAGGGCAAUUUUGAAAAAAACUAUAUUUUUAUAUCAGAAUUACUAAAUUUUAUAAACUGAACCAAACGUAUUAAUGUUAUAAACACUAUAAUCUAGUAUUACAUUACUGCAUUAAACCAAACGCGCUAAUGCAGCAUCAAUAGUAAUCUCACGCCAAAAUCCAAGAUACUUGGAUAUGUCGAGAUACUUUGUAAUAUUACAUAACUCGAACCAAACGGACCCUAACAGUAAUGAUGCGGCAUCUAUUUAUUACUACCUUAUAAACUACAACAUUUGUUACAACGCUACUGCCAUAUUAGCGACAGAUCCUGUACCAGAACUUUAAUACAUUUCAUUUUCAAUUGGGUGAAGUGUAAAAAAAGCAUUUUGACAUUUUUGUUUCUCACGUAAAAUGAGUAAAAGCGUUUUGGUGUAUUAGCCUUUUGGUGUUUCCCACGGCUCGCCCCACGCCGGCGCCCGCCCGCGCCCCGCGCCUCCAGCCCUCGGCUCGCGUCCACGCCAGCGCCGGAGCAGCCCCUGCGCCAGCGCCGGCGCACGUGCCCAGCCCCGUGCCCGCUCGCGACUCCGCUGCCACGUGUUGCCCUCCUGUUGAAGUUAUUGAUGAAUAAUAUAUCUAUAUAGAUGCUAGAUUGAAUAUUCCAUGUCAUGAAACGUUCAAUUUUGGAAAGUGAGUCCAACAUGUAAUUUCAAAUAGUUUUUACGUCUCUCUCUCUCUCUCUCUCUCUCUCUCUCUCUCUCUGUUACCUGGUUUAAAGAAACCAGGUAACCUGGUUUUAUUGAGGAGGGUUCCAGACGAUCCGUCUGGAACCCUCCUCUAGAGGACCCUUCCUCCCGGUUUCGGGAGGAGGGCUCCUCUAGUCUAAGGUCCGGGUUCCGUUAAACGAAACCCAAAAACCAAGGCACCUGACUUAAAGAAACCAGGCAGACCGGGUCAGGUUAGUCAGGCACGGCACGGAACCCUCCCCGAGAGGACCCGGGCCGCGCCGGGUCCGGGAAAAGGGCUCCGCUAGUCUGGCAUCAGCGUUCCGUUGAACGGAACCCGGACCCCAUACGCCCGAUCACGACCGGGCCGACCGUGCCAGGUGUAGCGCCGAGCAUCGGCACGGCCCGGUGGCCGAGAGGAGCCGGGCCGGGCCGGGUCCGGGCAAAGCCCGGCACGGCACAGCCCGGCAACCCGGGGUCCAUACGCCGGGUCAUGCCGGGCUUCUCGGCCCGGCCGGGCCGUGCUGGGCCCACGAUGUCACCAGCACGGCCCGGUGUCGGGCCGGGCGUCGACACGGCCCGGUGUCGGGCCGGGCGUCGGUACGGCCCUGCCCGCCCGGUGCCCGACGGGCCGGGUAAAAUGUGGGGAUGUAUACGGGGGGAACAUACAGUACAGGAUGAUAUUCUUUAUCUCUCUCNNNNNNNNNNNNNNNNNNNNNUAAAUAAAAAUUAUUUAUUGUUUAUAUUUUUGUAGAUUAUAUAUAUUUUUUUAAAAAAAAAAUUAAAAAAGGGCCGGCCCGAAGCACGGCCCGGCCCGGCACGGCCCGUGCCCUCCGGGCCGUGCCGGGCCGAAGGGUAGGAGUUCGGGCCCGGCACGACCUGGCCCAGAUUUGGUCACGAGCCGGGCCGGGCCAGGCCCUAGCGUGUUUCGGCUCGAAAAAUGUGGGCCGGCACGGCCCACAUUACACCCCUAGGCAUAUGCCUCAAUUGACACGAAAAUGAAAAUUAAACUAAGACUCAGAAACUCUAGCAUUACAUAACCAUGAAUAUGAGCUCCCAUUCUACAACUGUUAACAACCAAUCAUUACAUAAGCCUCCCCUAGGUCGAUUACAGCUACCAUCCAUCACGUAAAUUAGCACGAAUUCCAAAGCAAAAUGAUUAGCACGAAUUCCAAAGCAAAAGAAUGGUGGAGAGCGCAACUUCAGUGGCGAGCUCUUCAACGAGAUCUCGUUGAGAUAAUUUGGUGCCCGUCUGAUCCACCCCGCGCCUGAAUCUUAAAUGUUUGGUUCUAAUCUAAAAGUUUUAACCCCCGAUCCUUAAUACUGGAUUAAUCAGCAAAUUUAAAAGAUGUCCAGUAAGCUGGAAUGAGGAGCUCCUCAUCCAAGCUUUUUCCGCCGGUGUAUGUGACCGUCUCAAGUUGUGGACGAUCGCCCUCCAAGUUUCUGGUUCCCCAACCACUACCGCGCUAAACACCAAUGGGGAGGCUCAAUUUUACAGCAAUAUCCCGUUAAACUUGCUCGACGCAGAAUCAUCGACCGGACAAAGACUUCGAACGAGCCUAAAUGGCUUGACUGAUCGCUAACGGUAGCGGGUUGGAGCCGACGUAGCUAAGCUGAACUUGGUGGGGCAGGAGGUGAUAUUGGAUCGAGAGCUCUUCGAAGAUCUUCUUGAGCUCGAGGACGAGCUCCGAUCGCCUGCCGUUCUUCUCGCUGAUGUUUUGGAAGUUGAUGGUGUGCUGAACAUACAAAGCCAUGUUCAUCUUGUUCACAUUCACAAUGUCCUUCACCACUAUGCUGUGGUUCGGCUGCCAAUGGGUGGGCUUACUCUCGAUAUAACUGAGAGACCACACAGAACCCUAUUAGUUGGCAAAUGUACGAAAAAUCAAAUGGGGCCUAAUCGCUUCCUAGUUCUUACUUGAAAGCGACAAACAAGGUGAUUAAGAUUUUGAGUUAAAAAACAAAGAAUCAAAUGAGGAACUCACGCUUUUAUUUUGGAUUUCAGAGUCGCAAUGCUUUCCACAGAAGUCGAAAUGUCGACGGCGAAUCCAACGGAAUCGCCCAUAUUCGGGCUCCGGUAGAAGUUGCUGAUUGGUUUCGUCGACAAGACAGCAUUCGGAUAAUAUAUCUUCUCGUUGUCGUAUCUCAGAAAAACGGUCGUUAGAAUGUUCAUUUCUUCCACAGUCAUCUGUCGAUUUAAAUAAGUUCAUAGAAAUAUUAGAUCAUAGAACACUUUUUCCUUAUAUAUAUAUAUAUAUAUAUAGUCCGGCUAUGCUGCUUGUAAAAGCACCAAGCAUUUGGUGCUUGUAAAUUUUUUACCGUUAGAUGUACUCUUUGAUCAUUUCCACUCGUUAGAUCAUACUAUUCAAUAUAUAUAUAUAUAUAUAUAGUCCGGCUAUGCUGCUUGUAAAAGCACCAAGCAUUUGGUGCUUGUAAAUUUUUUACCGUUAGAUGUACUCUUUGAUCAUUUCCACUCGUUAGAUCAUACUAUUCAAUAUAUAUAUAUAUAUAUAUAGAAAAAAAAAAUGCCAUCAUAUAUGAUUGUUUUUGAUACUAACUUCACUUUUACGGAGUAUAUACUGCAAUAGGACGUUUCAGGGCGAUGGAUAUACAUAUAUAUGAUAUUGCAGCAGAGACAUAUACGUAAGGUGCAAAAGUUGUAAUAAAGUCAAAAUAUUUACCUGUACUCCAUCGACGACGCAACGAUCGCCGACAUCGAAAGGGUGCAUAAUGAAGACGAAAAUGAUGGCUUCAAAUGUAGUCUUGCAUGUGUUUCCGAACAUGAAAACAACCACCAAAAGCUGGGACGAAAUGACGACGAUAACGCAAUGCCCAUCAUAAGAAGCAUAACAAUUAUAAUCACAAUAACAACAAUGAUGGUCGUUAGCUUGUGCAGUUGUCGGACUGCGGUUUUAGUAUCGUUUAGGGAAUGUGCAAGGGACUUCCGAUCGAGGUAGGCCUUCACCUGGAAACAUGGUCACAAAAAUUAAGCUAUUUACUCACAGCAAGCAAAAGAGCAUGUCCUUGAGGCAACUUUGAGGUUCUAUUAGAAUUUGGCAUCCCUUUACCUAAUUUCUGACUUCAUUAAUUUGUCAGACAUAUUUGAACCAAAUUAUCUUAAUAGUUUUCAACUAAAUGACAAAAGAGAGAAAGAAAUCAAAGGAAAAUACGAUGCUGCAGCGGCAACAACAAGGAACUAUCUAAUAGAAUUUGAAGUUUACAGAAUUUACCACCCAGUUCUUCAAUGCUGACUUCUUGAUCUUUCUUGUCUCAGCAGCUCCUUCAAACAUCGGGAGCACGGAUUCCACUUCCUCCUUGCUCAAAAAUCUCAUAAGAUCCUCUUCAUCUAUGUACCUAACUACCCACGAAGAAGAGGAAACACAUCAGGAGAGAUCAAAAAAAAAAAAGGCAAAGAGAUAUAAAGAAGAAGGCAAUUGGAUUUUAAGAUCCAUCACUUGUGAUCAGGCUUGGCGACAUUUUUAAAAAUCCGGUAAGCCGCGGCCUUCGCUUCCCACUCACUAUUAAUCUCCCUAUCCUUCUGUUCCCAGCCUUCCUCGUCGAAGUUUUCGAUUGUGUUCGAGAUUGUAGUGAGCCCUGUUAAGUAUAAAUUAUCAUAAGACCAUAAGCAGGAUGUCCUAUGUUCAAGCACUUAAUUCAAUUCAGAAUUCACAUCUUGGGCCAGCAGGAAGUCUCGAACGCAGGCAUAAGGGGAGCAGUUAAUAUAAAUUAUCAAGAAUAACAUUCUCAAACAACUUGAGCAUUUGCGGAAGUUCGUUCUUUCACGACCUGAAGUCCUGAUCACAUUUAUUAGUCCCUUCAUUGUCCAAGCCGAGACCUUCUCCUGAUCCAUCUUAUGAAGCUUCCCGACAUCAAUCACCGCUUGUUCUUCCCCUCCUUUAGCCUUCCCCUUCCCGGUGCUCCGAAAGCUUAACUGCCCUGUGCUCUUCUCUCUCCCUACCUUCUCCGCCAUCUCCAUCAACGGCAGCCCGGAGAGCGCCUGCAACACGUACUGAUGGAAAAUUGACUCUUGGAUCCGAUCGAAAAACUUGGUCAUGUGGAAAGAAGAAGCUAAUAUCUUCAUGCCGAGGGUUUUCGCGAGCAAUAUUACCUAUCGAAUAUAAAACAUUAGUCAUCAUUCUCUGCCGGCUUAAACUUUAACAAAAACUUGAAAUUCAGAAAAUAUCAUAGCAAGAAGCCCUAAGCUCAAAUCUUCUAUUAGAAGUCUUAAGCAUAGAAAUGAGGAGGAAUAUUAAAUAAGGGUAAAUUACACUUUUGGUCCUCAAACUGUAUGGAGCGUGAUACUUUGGUCCUCAGACUCUAAUUUGAUGUAAAAAUAUUGUGAUUGAUGAUGCGAUAAAAGUUAAAGAUGUUAUAUCAAUUAUGCAUCAAUAUUUUGCCAAUAUUCAGCUAACUAAAUUGGACUGUAGAAAUUGAUUGCAAUAAUUCAAAAGUUCAUGUAAAAAAUUACAACAAAUUAAAGAUUAAGGACCAAAGUAUCACUCACCCCAUAAU
rnacentral:lncRNA from 1 species